CUGGAGGACGAGGUCACUGGGAUGGAGCUCACAUUGCAGGGUGAAGAACCUGGGAGGUUGCUUCAGGAUUACAAUGCCCUGCAGAAAGGCUCAGUUGAUGCAUCUCCCUACUGUGUCAGUCUGGACCCAGAGAAGAGACUUGUUCAGGCAGGAGAACUCAGAGAGAUGCUCCACAUGGAGGUGGACAGGAUCUGGAAGGACCAAGGUUCUGCCGCUAGGACAGCUUUACGUGUAGAUCCUACAGCUUCUUAUGGUUCACUGUCCACACUGAAACAAUGU